GAAAAAUCCUAACAUAUUGAUAACAGUGCAAUACUAAUCCACCGAAUAGUUUGGUGAAUCCACAAUCUGAAUUCCACGAAGAACGAAGUGAACUAACUAAAUUACAUAUGAAAAGAAACCUAAAUUAUAAAUAGAAAAUAAACUAAGUAGGAAUCAAAAAAUAAAACUUUAGUAAAAACUAUCUCUAAACUGUGCAUAGCAAUACUGUUUGGAGGCUUAGGGUUGGCCGUUAAUCCUUGACCUUAUUUGGUUGACUAAUUCUUGUUAAAUGUUGUUGUGUAGACGAAAACACCCUUAGCCCAUUAAUUGACCUUGUCACGUCAGUGUCAUGACACCGUAUGGUUUGUGUCGCGUUAUUGAUGGCAGUUUACUCGUCUUGGGCGUAUCUUCAGGGUUGUGUUGCAACACCUUUUGGCUGUGUCGCGACACCAAAGGUAGUUUGCUCCUUUUGAGUACUCUGUUUACUAUGUUGUGACAUUGAAGCUCCGUGUUGCAACAUCUCGAGCAGUCUACUGUCUCCGGACCUCCGAAUGGUGUACUACACACUCACUAAAUAGGAUGACGAGAUGAUAACACGAUAUGAUGACAAUGUUGCGGUUGUCAUUGAUGAAGAAGGAAAUUUAAAAGAAACUUGAAUUUUUAGAAUGAUUGCUCGGGAAUUCAAACAGUUAAAUUUUAUUAAAAUAGUUUUAUUAGCUCUUGAGAUAUUAUAAGACGAAAUCCAAGUAUGAUAUAUAUAUAUAUAUAUAUAUGAAUUUGGAUUUUUUAUUUUAUAGUAUUAUAAUUUUAUCAUUCUAAAUAGAUAAA